GAGUAGUAAAUGUUUUGGACAGGAAACUUAAAGAAUUUGGCGGUGUAUAUUCUAAUUAGAGGAAUAUGUUUUUUAAUUGAUACUCCCCAUGUAUUUUACUUAAAUUUAUUUAUUUUGUAUAUCUCCGUCUUAAAAAACUUUUUAAAAUAUUUUUUAUUUUUUAUAAUUUAAAAUAAGUCAGGUCAAGGUGCAGAUUAUAUUUAAGUUAAAAUGUAUUACAAUAAAUUUAUUUUUGAAUUAAAAUUUAAAUAAUUUUAGGAAAUUGGAUUUAUGAGUAAAUUUUUUUAUAUAAUAAUUUAUUGAAUUGUGUUAAUAUACAUGCACACAUC
rnacentral:rRNA from 1 species